rnacentral:rRNA from 1 species
UUGGCUCAGGAUGAACGCUGGCGGCGUGCCUAACACAUGCAAGUCGAACGAAGCACUGGAAUUGAUUUCUUCGGAAUGAUUUUUCUUUGACUGAGUGGCGGACGGGUGAGUAACACGUGAGCAACCUGCCUUUCAGAGCGGGAUAGCAGUUGGAAACGACUGAUAAUACCGCAUGACAUGUCUCUUCCGCAUGAGAGAGACAUCAAAUGAUUUUUCGCUGAAAGAUGGGCUCGCGUCCGAUUAGGUAGUUGGUGAGGCAACGGCUCACCAAGCCGACGAUCGGUAGCCGGACUGAGAGGUCGAUCGGCCACAUUGGGACUGAGACACGGCCCAGACUCCUACGGGAGGCAGCAGUGGGGAAUA